AAAGAAAAAAAAAAAAAGGAUGAAAGCGAGGUUGAGUUGAAAUGGAAAAUUAUUAAAAGCAAAACAGGAAACGAGUGUUUGCUCAGCCAACCAUUUCCUAUUGAUGGUUCUCUGUGUAAUGUUGUCUAUGAAGGAUUCACUGUUCACCCUUAAACAGAUUGAAAUGAUCCGUGGGGGGAAAUAAUACCAAACCGAAGGGCUGUGUGGAAGCUAAGGUCAGUGCUGAGGCCCCCGAGUUGCUGUGGAGAGGCCGGCUGUGAAGGCGUAUGUGUCUCUGUUGAAGGGAAGCCUUUGAAAGCUAUCUUUUUAACAGGAUGAAUGCAAAACGCUACCGGGGAGAAAAAAAGGCGGCACAAAACUGCCACUUGAGCAUUGCUUCCUGUCCAUGUGGCUCUAGUUCUUUGCUGACAGUUAUUCUUAGAACUUCUUUGGCUUCAAAGGUUUCCUCUUUUCUAUUUUUGGUAGCAGAAUAUGGAUUUAUAUCUGCACAACCCCUCUCGUCUAUGAAUGUGUUCCCUGAGGAGAGUAGUUUUUCGUAGCUAUGAGUUCUCUUUUCAGCACCUCCAAAUGAUUUUUAAUAUUAAGGACACAGAUUUACGGGAAGGAAUCACUGGGUUUUCAAACUGGCUUGUAGUCUCUUAAUUUGCGCAUGUCUUUCUCCAGCAGGGGUACCUCAGAGAUCAUUUCAAGUCAUGAGGCCUGACUUUCAUGAUGAGUGAAAGAUCCGGGCAUAAGGAAUAGAACGUGGAAGUUGGACUUAAUGAACAAAAGAGGAGCCUGUGGAUGGUGGGGGAGUUUUCGGAGCAACCUCCAGUGCUCAAGGCCAACAAAGAACCUAAG